rnacentral:rRNA from 1 species
GUUAUACAACUUUCAGCAACGGAUCUCUUGGCUCUCGCAUCGAUGAAGAACGCAGCGAAAUGCGAUAAGUAAUGUGAAUUGCAGAAUUCAGUGAAUCAUCGAAUCUUUGAACGCACCUUGCGCUCCUUGGUAUUCCGAGGAGCACACCUGUUUGAGUGUCAUGAA